GGUCCGCCGGUCUCCGUCUCCAUCUCUUCCACUACGACUGCCAGAUGAUCUAUUAACAUGUCAAUGGAAGUAGAGAAAUCCUAUGAUGAGAUAACACCAAUAAUUGAAUCAGAAUCACUAGAACAUGGAGGAGGGGAAGAUGACUUUGAAGAGGCAUCCAAUACAGAUAAGGUAUCCGGUUCUUGUCCUCAGUCUAGUAAGCGAAAAUCAGUAGCUUGGCUUCAUUUUCGUAAAGGCAAAACUGACGCGAACGGGAAACUUGAAAUGUUUUGCAAUUAUUGUGGGACCAAGUAUUUGUACCAUGUUGAUAAUGGCACUUCAACUAUGUUGAAACAUUUGAGAAAGUGCCCUCAGUAUCCUCGCAAUAUAGAUAAGAAGCAAAAAUUGUUUGCAUCACAUGCAGUAUGUGGGAAUCAAAUGAUAGGGGAAAAUACUAGUACUGGAAGUGCUAGUUUUUUAACGA